GGUAAAAUGGCUGAGAUUUAAAGGUGAUAAUUUGUAAAAUUAUUAAGGAGAAUUUUCUCUUUUACCA
rnacentral:tRNA from 1 species